UACGGAGGGUGCAAGCGUUAUCCGGAUUCACUGGGUUUAAAGGGUGCGUAGGCGGAUUUGUAAGUCCGUGGUGAAAUCUCCGAGCUUAACUCGGAAACUGCCAUGGAUACUAUAAGUCUUGAAUGUUGUGGAGGUUUGCGGAAUAUGUCAUGUAGCGGUGAAAUGCUUAGAUAUGACAUAGAACACCGCUUGCGAAGGCAGCAGGCUACACAAAUAUUGACGCUGAGGCACGAAAGCGUGGGGAGCAAACAGG
rnacentral:rRNA from 1 species